AGUGAACGCUGGCGGUAGGCCUAACACAUGCAAGUCGAACGGCAGCACAGUAAGAGCUUGCUCUUACGGGUGGCGAGUGGCGGACGGGUGAGGAAUACAUCGGAAUCUACUUUUUCGUGGGGGAUAACGUAGGGAAACUUACGCUAAUACCGCAUACGACCUACGGGUGAAAGCAGGGGAUCUUCGGACCUUGCGCGAUUGAAUGAGCCGAUGUCGGAUUAGCUAGUUGGCGGGGUAAAGGCCCACCAAGGCGACGAUCCGUAGCUGGUCUGAGAGGAUGAUAAGCAACACGGAACCUGAGCACGGGCCAAGACCCCUACGGAGGGAAGCAGUGGGAAAUAUUGGACAAUGGGCGAAAGCCUAAUCAAGCAUACCGGCGUGGGUGAGAAGGCCUUCGGGUUGUAAAGCCCUUUUGUUGGGAAAGAAAAGCAGCAGGUUAAUACCCCGCUGUUCUGACGGUACCCAAAGAAUAAGCACCGGCUAACUUCGUG
rnacentral:rRNA from 1 species